GGCCAUAGCUAAGUGGUAGAGCACCUGCUUUGCAUGCAGAAGGUCCCAGGCUCAAUCUCAGGUAAGGCUG